rnacentral:rRNA from 1 species
UUGAUCCUGGCUCAGAUUGAACGCUGGCGGCAGGCCUAACACAUGCAAGUCGAGCGGAUGAGUGGAGCUUGCUCCAUGAUUCAGCGGCGGACGGGUGAGUAAUGCCUAGGAAUCUGCCUGGUAGUGGGGGACAACGUUUCGAAAGGAACGCUAAUACCGCAUACGUCCUACGGGAGAAAGCAGGGGACCUUCGGGCCUUGCGCUAUCAGAUGAGCCUAGGUCGGAUUAGCUAGUAGGUGAGGUAAUGGCUCACCUAGGCGACGAUCCGUAACUGG